rnacentral:pre_miRNA from 1 species
AACCUACACGUUCCGGGUUUCUUGACAAUUUGAACCUUUUUUUUAUAUUUUAUGGUUCGUUGUCGACGAAACCUGCAUUGUGUAGGA